CUCUCUUUUUAUCUUUUCCCCUGUGUGUGUGUGUGUGUGUGUGUGUGUGUGUGUGUGUGUGUGUGGUUUCAUCAAUGUCAUGAUGAAUGUGCUGGACCGUACAACACAUAGUACCGUACAUUGCAUCCAUACAUUGCGUGUGCAUAUCAUCAUCAUCAUCGUCAUCAUCAUUGCAGCAGGCCCCAUACGUCCCAUGGCCGUGUAUCAUAUCCAUAUCCACUGGUUAUCCAGUAUUCAUGUGCCAUAUGAUUUUUCGGGCUCUCAAGGCACUACCCUCUUUAUCCAUCCCUAUCUUUUGGGGGCGCCAGGCGGAAAUCAUGGGGCUAGACCGGCCGGGGCUGGCUGGCUUGCCCCGAACAGACGGGAUGUGGAAGUAAGCCGCUAUCCCCACGUGGGAAAACUGGGGGGACGGACUGUCAGUCAGUCGUUCCAUCUAAAAUUAACUGCCCUAGCAAGCACCCAGCUCCAUCAUUGUUCGGCGCGGUUCGUUCCUCCACAUGAAAAACCCAAUGCCUAGGUUUUAAAACACUGGCUUUCCCAGUUUAGCUGGAUAAAUAGGGUAGUUUAAACCGAGUGGCAUGGACAGGUUCAAUCCAGGCGAGGAGAACUUGAACUUGAGACAAGCAUGUGAACAGUGAGAUGGAGAUCCCAGAUGACAUCAUUCCGAUUCGAUGAUAGAUUAGGUAAGUCGUUAGUUAAACUACCUGUAGUUAGUUGAAUGAUAAACAACACACCCCGUGUAAUGACAUCCUUUAUAAAAAUAUAUAGAACCUGACGAACGCAAAGAUAAUAGAAUUUCCAAGAUAUAACUUGUCCCCAAGACUGUUGAUGAUCGAGAUGACAUCACACCGUCGUUAUUUGUGGAAUGGCUCGAUUAUUGCCACACUGCCACUGCCCAGCUGCCCAGCUGCCCAUUCUCGGCCAGGCUCCGCAAAGAAAGCCAAGCCAGUCUUUUAUCGCGAUAACUCGUCCCGACUGCACCCGCGUGGAGGGGUGGCGCUUGCUGGGAAUUUACCCGGGUGACAUGGCUUGGCAUCUGGUCUGGGAUGCUUUCCUGCGGGACUUGGAUCGGAACAAGUAUGUAUGGCUAUGUAUUGCAGAUACGUGGAAUGAUAAAGAAGUCAUAAUAAUAACGAUACCGGGAGGAGGAAAAAUUUAUUUUUUUAUUAUCUCUUUUUAUUAUUAUUAUUAUUAUCUUUCCAUUAUCGUCCAGGAACAAAAGUGCAUUGCAAAUCCGAAAAGGAUGGCAGGGGACGGGAGAGGAGAAAAACCAAAAACCAAAAAUCAAAAACAAGAAAAAAGAAGGGCAAAACUCUUCAAACAAGAUUCCCCCUCCCCUUGCAUUGGCUUCGUUAGUUUACGAUACACCAGAUCCUGUUCCUAUCAGGGGGACGAAAUUUUCUUUCCUCGGCGAUUUCAGCCAAAAAAAAAAAAAAAAAAAAAAAAAGGAAAAACGGAAAAACGGAAAAACGAGACGAUAUCAGAGCUUCAAUUGCAUUGUUCGUACGGCGGAUAGGAGGAAGAUCACGUCCUGGCACAAGGGAAAAACAAAACAUUCCCGCGCGCUGGCCGGAGACAUGAUGAGACGAGGCGCGUCUGCUGAGGGAGUUACGCCGCAUUUUGAUUUUGAUUUUUAUUUUUAUCAAAGAUAAGGAGUAAUUUAUUUUACUGUGCGGCUGUUAUCUUACUUUACUAUCUUACAGACCGCCACCGUAUCAAUACAGGUCGCACCUUAUCGCGUCCUUGUUAGACAGAGCGCCAGCCACACCACGCUAGGGAACACAAAUGCGAUCGUUAUAAAAUGGUAAUUUAUCACUUGUAGCAGGGAAAGAAUCAUCAAGAAAAUUUGGGACCACGGUUGUUGAUUUUCAACGAGAGUAGAAGAUGCGUGUUUGAUGAUCGAGUUUACCACGAUAAAUCUGAUUAUC
rnacentral:sRNA from 1 species